rnacentral:rRNA from 1 species
CGGGUGAGUGACACGUAUCCAACCUGCCGUCUACUCUUGGACAGCCUUCUGAAAGGAAGAUUAAUACAAGAUGGCAUCAUGAGUCCGCAUGUUCACAUGAUUAAAGGUAUUCCGGUAGACGAUGGGGAUGCGUUCCAUUAGAUAGUAGGCGGGGUAACGGCCCACCUAGUCUUCGAUGGAUAGGGGUUCUGAGAGGAAGGUCCCCCACAUUGGAACUGAGACACGGUCCAA